UACGUAGGGUGCAAGCGUUAAUCGGAAUUACUGGGCGUAAAGCGUGCGCAGGCGGUUUUAUAAGUUUGUCGUGAAAGCCCCGGGCUCAACCUGGGAAUUGCGAUGAAGACUGUAAGGCUAGAGUGUGUCAGAGGGGGGUAGAAUUCCACGUGUAGCAGUGAAAUGCGUAGAUAUGUGGAGGAACACCGAUGGCGAAGGCAGCCCCCCUGGGAUAACACUGACGCUCAUGCACGAAAGCGUGGGGAGCAAACAGG
rnacentral:rRNA from 1 species